AUUACUGCAGAACUGAAGAUAGUGCAAACCAGGUGGGAAACACCUGGGACAGCAUGUGGGCAGGAUCCUUAAGAAGGUGCAACUCCCCUUUGCACUCCUCACAAAAAUGUGGGGUUGUGGUUAGAUUCCAAAUUUGGAGGUCUUUUCAAUUGAUCUAGACCAAGCAAUAGAAGUAGACCAAGGAAAGGGAGGCAAGCGAGGUGUGAGUUUUUUCCUCUCCUAAGUUUGGUAAUUCUGAAUGUCACAAAGGUCCUUUGUUUAAGAAUCCUGCAUGUUCCAAGCAAUUCCUGGAAUUUCUUAAAUGGCUUCCAUUUUCCUGGAGGAGAAGCUCGUAAUGGUCUGCUUGGCUCUCUGCCUUUAUAGCCUCUACUGGAGCCACUUAACCCGCAAUUUGUAGGUUCAGCUGUACCCCCAGGCCUAAGGCCACCCCUGUCCCCAGGUGAGGGAAGAUAAGUUCAACCCAGCCUACCCUGCCUCUGUCCUCCCUGGUCACCUGGCUCAUCUAGAAAAAGCAAAGAUUCCCCCUUAGUGUCUGGCAGAGAUGCACAUUUACUCCUGGGUAGAAGUUAAAAAAACAAAAGAUGUAUUUGUUUUUUUUUUAAAUCUGCCUGGAAAUAUAAACAAAGGUGAAAUCUUAUAAAAUAAACUGUUCCAAAAACACUUGCCCAAGUAUCA
rnacentral:lncRNA from 1 species